AACAGAUGUCUUAUUCAGUAGUUAUUUUUAAUAUUGAUAAUGAAGUGGCAACAGUGUCCAGUAAAUGGUUUAAAGAUUCAGGAUGCGUUUUGUGGCCCAACUGUAGAGUAGGGAAGAAAUUGCAAAACAUGUUACUAAACCAUGAAGAGCCAGGUGCUGACUGGAUUUCUUAUGAAGUACGAGUGUUGUCCAGUAACAUCUUAACUCUCAAAUCAGCAAGGGCAAAGGAGCGACUAGCUGAGGAAAAUUCUGAUCUUAGUUCAGCUGAAGAUGGUAGCAGAAUUAUAUAUGCCCCUAGCAGAUUUAACAGUCAAGAAUAUUGUCAACCACCAUCCAAAAUCAGCAAAUUAACUUCAAAUAGCCAUACCACUUCCUAUUUAAACAACCCCUUGAUUCCUCAUGCACCAUCACUAGUUUCUAAUCCAUCUUUAAUUCAAACUUCAGCAUCGUUUUCUAAUGAUGAUCAUAGCAUAUUUAAUACGCAAGAGUUUUUACGACCCUUAGCCAAAAAUAGAAAAUUUAAUUCUAACUGCCAAACCACUUCAUCUAAUAACUAUCCUUCAUUUCCAGAUAAAUCAGCACUAGUUCCUGAUUUUUCAAUUUCAAACUCUGUUCAAACUCCAACACCAAUCUCUACUAAUGUUCCUUGUGCACAUCAUUGUACGCAUGUUGUUACGUGGUUUGAGAAAUUAUUUAAAGAAAUACAACAAAUGCGUGCAGAACAGACUGUGAUAAAUCAUCGUUUAGAUCAACAAUGUCAAAAUGAGCAUCAGCAUGUAGAUAGCAAUUUUUUGAAUUGUCUUCCACUUGAGAGUGAAGUUGAUUUUGAACGAUUCGGUAUAGAGAUAGAUAGUGACAAUGGAAAACGAACUUCUUUGAUACGUUAUUUGCGGAAGAGGUCAGACUCAAAUGUCAACAAGACCAUACUAAAUAUAUUAAGAAGUUUAUUAAAGGACAAUGUUCUUAGUUGUUAUUCUAGAGAUAGGAAACGCGGAAAAAAAAGUUUUUCUUCAGCAAAGGGAAACUUUGUUUCCAUAAUUCAAGAUGUUGUUUUGAAAGUUCAUAAAGGUGUGUCGUUGGUCCAAAUAAAUGUUGCGAUUUCGGAACAAUUAAAGAGACUCAAUCAAAGAAAUCGAAAUUCUAAGUCUACAACAGCUGAAGAAACUACACCUGAAAUUCCAGAGUUUGAUUAAAAACCAAUUAUAUAAAGUCUUUUUUAUUGUUGAGAAGACUUAUAAGUUUGAAAGAUCCUGCUUACACACUUUGAAAAAUACAGCAAAUGCUGGAAGCUAGAACAGGAAGUUAUAAAUCAGCAUCUUGAUGGUAAAAUGAAAAUCAACAACUAGUAGCACUUCUUUGAAUUGUCUUUAAAUUAGAGUAAUGUUAAUUUUGAUUGGUAUGGAGAUAGAUGCAUACAAUGGAAAACGAACUGCUGUUAUAUUUUUGGAAGAUGUUAAACAACAAGAUGUAAUUCGAGAUAUUGUUUCUAAAAUUCUUAAAGACGUGUUAUUCGUUCAAGUAAACGAUGCUGUUAAAGCAGGUUGUCUGAGCAGUUAAAGAAACUUAAUCAAAUGAUUCAAAAUUCUCUUCUUUAAGCAGCCGAAGCAACGAUACUCGAAAUGGCUGGAAUGGAUAAUUAACAAAGUAAUAAAUAAACUUUGAAAUAAAGUUUAAAAAUAAAAAA
rnacentral:misc_RNA from 1 species